UGACAGUCUACAUGUCUCUGUGUAUUUUGUCCAACAAAUCCAAGAUUUUACUGAGUUACAUGGAUACAACUACCACUAAAGUGCGACGGCUACAUCAAGCUACAGACGUGCCAUGAAGUCUACUACUCCAAAAGUAGAUACGAAUGCUGCCCACUACAGAUUCAAGGAUGCCUUCAUCAACAGAACUGCUAAAGCGGAAGUAAGUGGAGCAAUAAUGAACAAAGCAGAUCAGCCUCAUGCAGAAUGCAUUUCUACGAAAGAAAAAGGCUAGCUACAGACAUCCCAUUGUCAGAUGAAGUCUACCUCUCCAAAAAUAUAUGUCUGAUGUGCAUACUGCCCAGCAUCAAGAUUCAAAGGUGUCUUCUCCUGCAGCAGCGAGGGUUGUCAUCUCCACAGAGAUCUACUCAUCAACCAAGUAGAUGUCAGAGACCUGCAGUGGAUGAGCUUCCUAACCAUUUACAUUGAAUCAGAUGGUGUCUACCUGUCACACAGAAGAUUUCCAAGUCCUGCACCAUGUAUAGUCAGCCCACUGUCUACAUAUCACUAGUUUAGAUGUGUGAGGGUUACGCAAGAGAAAGGUAAAAUACCUGUGGUUGUUUUACACUAACAUCAAAGGGUGGUCUGUUUUUGCAGCACUCAUACCAACAGAAUAUCUCGUCACAUGCCACAACAUUUUUGGGGAUGAAAUGCCGGCACCAGCCUAACCCGAAAUGAGAGGUUCGUCCCUACAGAUUAAUAACAGAUUUAAAAGAUAGGAAACAUGUUUUUGAUUAACAAAACCCCUUUACCUGUACAAAAAUACAAUUUCAAAUAAUUAAAAGGCUUUUUAGUACAAACCAUUGACAUUCCUUCUCAAUUUAAACCAUAAUCUAGGAACGUAAUUAUUUCCCAUCGUAUGAUGAUAAGUAAAAGAGCUGGAAUGUGCCGAACACCUCUCCUGACCUAAAAUAAAGUUUUAAAAUUAAGUUCAGGUAAAGCAGAUCCAAUUUUGUGAGGGUUUAGCUUUGGCAAAGGUGAUUUGAAAAUUAAUUGUUGUAUUAAUUGAGUCAUCAUUGAUGGAUCACCAUAUUUUGAUGAUAAGGGCAAAUUAAACGCCCCUAGUUCAUUUAAUAAUUAUAAAUAAUAACAACAAAUAUAAUAAUAGUGGCAAUUUAUAAUGUGCCAUGUCUGUCUAAAAGACACUCCUGGCGCAGGACAGAUGCAGAAGCAAGAUUGCAAUGAGUUACAUAGUUAAGCAUAAAUAGAAGUUUUUUCUUCCUUUUUUGUGUCCUGCUAUACAUCUUAGGACAACUCAAUGUUUCCAUUUCACAGCAUGAAAAAGCUGAUAUCCUAAAACUACGUGUGUAGCAAAUAUCUUUCAUUACAAUAUUGAAAGCUUUAGAGUUUGAUAGAAAAACUAAUCGUAUUGAAACAUCAAGGUCUUCAAGGCAUUCCAUAUAAGAAGGAAUGAUAAAUGAGCAACAAGCUUGUUGAUUUCAUUUGUAAAAUUGUAAACAUGUUAAAUAAUGUCAGACAACUCGUCAGAUGUAAUCUUACAUUUAAGUUAAAUUUUCUUGUAAAAAGUAAGUGUACCAUUUGCAAGCAAGCACACAAUGUGUGUAGUUUUUAACUCACAAACUUGGAGAAAAUAAACUGUUUCUCGGGGUGGCAUACUUCUCAAAAGAGUUGCCUUAAGAUUUCAGAAAGAUAGUUGGUCUGGUAUAGACUUUUGUUACCAGGAGAAAAGAACUUAUCUUAAAAUUAGAUUUCUUGCAAGGUGCACUUAUUUUACUCCACAACCUUAAAGCUUCACAAAACUUUACAGUAAACAUGUAACUCACUAUAAAUUAUAGGUUAAAAGUAGCCAUUAUUAUUUGCAUUUAAUCUUUUGGACUUAAAGGCACUGGCACUCAUGGUAAUUACUCAACAUAACUGU